UNAUCGGNAUGAGUACACUUUAAAUCUUUUAACGAGUAUCUAUUGGAGGGCAAGUCUGGUGCCAGCAGCCGCGGUAAUUCCAGCUCCAAUAGCGUAUAUUAAAGUUGUUGCGGUUAAAAAGCUCGUAGUUGGACUUGUGUCCCACGCUGUCGGUUCACCGCCCGUCGGUGUCUAACUGGCAUGGUUCGUGGGACGUCCUGCCGGUGGUGGCGAGUCGAAGGGACGCGCCCUCCGCGGUUUGCGCCGUGAGAGAGGUGGCGUGCCGUAGACGGACCCCGAUGAAAUCCUACCGCGGUGCUCUUUACCGAGUGUCGAGGUGGGCCGGCACGUUUACUUUGAACAAAUUAGAGUGCUUAAAGCAGGCCUGUUGUGCCUGAAUACUGAGUGCAUGGAAUAAUGGAAUAGGACCUCGGUUCUAUUUUGUUGGUUUUCGGAACCCGAGGUAAUGAUUAAUAGGGACAGUCGGGGGCAUUCGUAUUGCGACGUUAGAGGUGAAAUUCUUGGAUCGUCGCAAGACGGACCGAAGCGAAAGCAUUUGCCAAGUAUGUUUUCAUUAAUCAAGAACGAAAGUUAGAGGUUCGAAGGCGAUCAGAUACCGCCCUAGUUCUAACCAUAAACGAUGCCAGCUAGCGAUCCGCCGAAGUUCCUCCGAUGACUCGGCGGGCAGCCCCCGGGAAACCAAAGCUUUUGGGUUCCGGGGGAAGUAUGGUUGCAAAGCUGAAACUUAAAGGAAUUGACGGAAGGGCACCACCAGGAGUGGAGCCUGCGGCUUAAUUUGACUCAACACGGGAAACCUCACCAGGCCCGGACACUGGAAGGA
rnacentral:rRNA from 1 species